rfam:Clostridium hylemonae DSM 15053 genomic scaffold Scfld_02_2, whole genome shotgun sequence.
AACAGCAAAGAUAAAAACACAGCCUGGUUGGUAGUCCAGGCAUAUCCGUCAGGAUAUAAGUAACCUUCCUCCUUAGGUCGUCCGUUCUUUGUCUUUGAAAA